GACGAACGCUGGCGGCGUGCUUAACACAUGCAAGUCGAACGGAAAGGCCCUGCUUUUGUGGGGUGCUCGAGGGGCGAACGGGUGAGUAACACGUGAGUAACCUGCCCUCGACUCUGGGAUAACUUCAGGAAACUGGGGCUAAUACCGGAUAGGAGCUCCGGCUGCAUGGUGGGGGUUGGAAAGUUUCGGCGGUUGGGGAUGGACUCGCGGCUUAUCAGCUUGUUGGUGGGGUAGUGGCUUACCAAGGCUUUGACGGGUAGCCGGCCUGAGAGGGUGACCGGCCACAUUGGGACUGAGAUACGGCCCAGACUCCUACGGGAGGCAGCAGUGGGGUAUAUUGCACAAUGGGCGGAAGCCUGAUGCAGCAACGCCGCGUGCGGGAUGACGGCCUUCGGGUUGUAAACCGCUUUCGCCUGUGACGAAGCGUGAGUGACGGUAAUGGGUAAAGAAGCACCGGCUAACUACGUG
rnacentral:rRNA from 1 species